rnacentral:rRNA from 1 species
CCUACGGGUGGCAGCAGUGAGGAAUAUUGGUCAAUGGGCGGAAGCCUGAACCAGCCAAGUAGCGUGCAGGAUGACGGCCCUACGGGUUGUAAACCGCUUUUAUCCGGGAACAACGCGCCUUACGUGUACGGCUUUGCAUGUACCGUAUGAAUAAGGAUCGGCUAAUUCCGUGCCAGCAGCCGCGGUAAUACGGAAGGUGCGGGCGUUAUCCGGAUUUAUUGGGUUUAAAGGGGGCGUAGGCCGCAUGUCAAGCGUGCUGUGAAAUGUCCGGGCUCAACCCGGGCCUUGCAGCGCGAACUGGCGUGCUUGAGUCCGCGGAAAGCAGGCGGAAUUCGUGGUGUAGCGGUGAAAUGCUUAGAUAUGACGAAGAACCCCGAUUGCGAAGGCAGCUUACUGGAGCGGAACUGACGCUGAUGCACGAAAGCGCGGGUAUCGAACAGGAUUAGAUACCCUAGUAGUC